UUUGUGUCAGCCCGCCGCGGUAAUACGGAGGAUGCGAGCGUUAUCCGGAUUUACUGGGUUUAAAGGGUGCGCAGGCGGUUGUUUAAGUCAGGGGUGAAAUUCCGGGGCUCAACCCUGGGACUGCCUUUGAUACUGAACAGCUAGAGUGAAGAUGGAGUGGGUGGAAUGUGUUGUGUAGCGGUGAAAUGCAUAGAUAUAACACAGAACACCGAUCGCGAAGGCAGCUCACUAAACUUCAACUGACGCUCAUGCACGAAAGCGUGGGGAUCAAACAGGAUUAGAUACCCUGGUAGUCCACGCCGUAAACGAUGAUCAGGAGCUGUUGGGCCGCAAAGGCUCAGUGGUUAAGCGAAAUUGAUAACUGUCCCACUCGUGAUCCCUUUUCCUA
rnacentral:rRNA from 1 species